rnacentral:rRNA from 1 species
UACGGGGGGGGCAAGCGUUGUUCGGAAUUACUGGGCGUAAAGGGCUCGUAGGUGGCCAACUAAGUCAGACGUGAAAUCCCUCGGCUUAACCGGGGAACUGCGUCUGAUACUGGAUGGCUAGAGUUUGGGAGAGGGAUGCGGAAUUCCAGGUGUAGCGGUGAAAUGCGUAGAUAUCUGGAGGAACACCGGUGGCGAAGGCGGCAUCCUGGACCAACACUGACGCUGAGGAGCGAAAGUGCGGGGAGCAAACAGG